rnacentral:rRNA from 1 species
GAUGAACGCUGGCGGCGUGCCUAAUACAUGCAAGUCGAGCGAACAGACGAGGAGCUUGCUCCUCUGACGUUAGCGGCGGACGGGUGAGUAACACGUGUAUAACCUACCUAUAAGACUGGGAUAACUUCGGGAAACCGGAGCUAAUCCCGUAUAAUAUAUUGAACCGCAUGGUUCAAUAGUGAAAUACGGUUUUGCUGUCACUUAUAGCUGGAUCCGCGCCGCAUGAGCUAGUUGUUAGGGUAACGGCUUACCAAGGCAACGAUGCGUAGCCGACGUGAGAGGGGGAUAGGCGGCAUGGGAAGUGGGACAGGGUCAAGGGGACUGAGGGAGGCAGCAGUAGGGAACGGUACGCAGUGGGCGAAAACAUGACGGAGCAGCGGCGCGUGAGUGGUGACGGUGUUGCGAUCGUAAAAAUGUGUUAUGAGGGAAGAACAAAUGUGGAAGUUACCAUGCAGGUAUUGACGGUACUGAGUCAGAAAGCCACGGCUAACUACGUG